GGGGGACAUGGCAUCUAAGCUGAGCUUGGAAGAAACCCAGGCCAAGUAGCGAGACAAGGGGGAGGAGAUACCCAGGCCAGGAAAUCCCGUGUCCAAAGGUGUGAGGGAGGAGCUGUGCCUGGAAGAUAACAUUCAAGGCGUGUAAUGAAAAACCGGGUAAGGAUGAAGAGAGAAGCAGGGCCAGAUCACAUCAGGUAAGGCCUUGCUGCCUCUCCUCAGAACUUGGGCACAGCUUACCCAAGGGCAACUGAAACAUCUUUGAAUCAUUUUAAACAGAAAGUGCUGUGAACAGAACUGCGUUUUGUGUCCAUGUCUCUGGCAGGAAUGUGGAGAUUACCUGGCUACAGUCUAUCCUGGAAGCAAAGGACCAGUUAGGGACAGUGCAGGAGGGAUAGGAGCGGCUCCAUUCAACAGUGCUGCCUUGAUUGAUAAAUCUUCUGGGAGCCGAGCUCCAAUACCUAGUCAGUUGCAUCGGGAGGACGAAGUCUAUUUCUGAUGGUGGUGCGUGAAAGGCUUCCGCUCUUCUAAAGGAGUGUGAUACCAACAGGUCUGGUGGGACCUUGGGAUAUGACGUGUGGUCAGAGUAACCUAACCAAGUCAUAUUCUGGGCCUGCCCAGCCCGGCUGGAUGAAGUGUGACUCAUCCGAAUGCCUUGGAGAGAGAAGUGACAGGUGGAUCCUUGGAAGGACCCUGAGAGGAGUGCACAGUGGGACCCUGGCUCCACAUUUUCACACGGGGACUGGGCUUUCAGGGAAGUCCCUAUUGAGAAGGCACGCUGCAAAUACAUCUGCCCAUAUGGUUACAACAGCCAGGGACCGGGUCGAGUUUAUGAAGAGGAUACAGAGAAAAUGAGAAAGGAAAAGCUGACAGCACUAGAGUAUGAAGAAGGAAGGACGUACAAGAAGGGAAGGAAAUUAGAUGGGAGACCCCACAGCAGAAAUGUCUGAAUGCCACCACGCCCAGCUCCGGGCCCAGCAGCCAUCUCUCUCUCAUGGGCAAAUUCAUGUAACCAAUGUUAGUGACUUCCUGUUAAGUUCUAGACCCAGAGGACACAAGGAUGAACAAAAUGGACAUCACUGCUACUCAACCACAGUUCACUCUGGCGGGGAAACAGAAAUAGAGGCAGGCCAAUGAGGCUCACAAGGAGGACAUCAGGCCCUUAGGAUGCAACUGUACCGACAGACAUAUCGAGGCCACCCCACCAGCACAGCAGAGUCGGUGGCCUUCUGGUUUGUAGCCCAUCUAUAGGGGACCCAGCCUGAGGAAAAUGCCCCUCCAAACUUUUCUCACCCCAAACCUGGGCCCUGGCUUUGGGCCACAAUCCCUAAAACCUAGCGUUGGGCUCCCGCCCUAACUCACCUCAUUCCUCCCUUGGCUUCUCCCUACACUGACCAUCUCUCAGGAUAUGGGCCUUUUCAUCCUUUCCCUGCCUCUUCCUUGCCCACCCAGAAUCUUUGGGAGUGGCAAGAGCAAGAGAAGAAGCCAACGGCUGUCAUUUGCCAUGGGUUUGUGAAAGGCUAUGUCCUCCAGUCUUGCUGACAGACAAAGGAAGGAGGUAGGUCCAAGAGAACUCUACAUGGGCGAGGUCGAGGGGCAUCUGGCCAAAGAUAAGCAGAGGCCGAGCGUCCGCUCUCCCCUACUCCUCUCUUAAUGGCACUGCGCUCGCUUGUGGCACUAGGAGGGCUGACCCUCCGGGCAUACUACAAGGAAGACAACUCAGCUACGGAAGAAAGUGGCAGCUGGUGAGUCUUUAGCUCCCAGGUAGGCAUCUGGCUUUAAGUCUGCUCAGAGAACCCGAGACGUCUGUGGUUGCUGGCCUCCCCCACAGCCUCUGGAGAGGUCAGCUAUCACAGCUCUGGAGUCGACUGUUGAGAUAACCCCCAUUUUUUCCAUUCCUCACCUACUUUUAUGAGUAAGACUUUCUUCCCAAUGUCUCCGCCCUAAAUCCCUCCCGCUCUUAUCUCCUUCUACAAUUAAAGGCAAAGAACGGGAGUCAGCGUAAGGGCACAGCUUCUGGACACUCUGCAGCACACAGAGGUCAAGAGCCUGAAGGCGUUAACCGUUCACGCUGGAAAGCUGAGGACGCGGCCUGUCGAGUAGGACUUCGGGGGGACAGAAGGAAAGCCAGGGUGGGGGGAAGCCUCACCAGAGGCCCUGGGGCUCCAGGAAAGCCGAGGGAUGCGUGUCAGUGAACACAUCUCCCAACAGCCCGUAGGCGCGUGGACAGGCCACGCGAAUGCGCUUCCGGGUGAAAGUGGCAGUCUCCACGAUGGGCGCUCCCUGGCCCAGCCCUGCCAGUGCUUGACAUGGAGCCCCUCUCCGUAGCCCAGCACCCCCCUCGCUUCUCUGACUCUUGCCUCCCCUUCUCCCACCAGGGCUCUGCAUGGCGAGCCAUCUUUUGGCCCUUCUGGUUGCCUCGGCAAGUUGCAGACACCGUCUCCCAGAGCUCCGGGCCUCUGCACGGCCUCCACGUGCACGUGGCUGCAAUGCCCCUUCUCUUAGCUCUCUCCUGCUCAUCCAGCGCCAGACGCCAACUCCUCCAUCAAAUGAGCCUCCGUGAUGCUCAGAGGCUGGGCCGCCCCUUCUCCUCUGCCCCCCAACCCCAGGGUCGUCUCCCUCCCUAAUCCCCACCCCCAGACUCAGCAAAGGCGGGGGGGGGGGGGGGGGCCGGCUCCACAAGCCAAAAGGGGUGGGGGAGAGGGAGCAGGGAGGGGAGGCUGGGAACGCAGAGCCCCGGCCCCCUCCACAUCCGCUGCUGCAAUCACAGCCCACCCCCAGCUGACAAAAGGCCUUGUCAGAGCCAAGGGGUCUGGUGCCAGCCCCGCCCCUUGGAGCAGCGACAGCCGUGUGCUACAUUUGCCCAAUUCUGCAGCUGGGCUAAUUACUGUGGUUCCCGAGCUUGGGGUCCAGCCCCAAACCAAACAAAUUAGGACAAAAACCAUAGGCUUCUUCAUCCCUCUCAUUCCCAGCCAGCAAUUGCUGAAGGACCCCUAUAAUUGAUGACAAUGAAAUAAAACCCCACCACCUGUCCUUACUCCUAAGGACUUGGGAGCCCGGCCAAUACCUCGGCCCACCCCUCCGUGGCCACAGCAACGUGGAGUUGCGCAAUGCUGCAUUCCCAGUGCCAGCAUCACCCCGGGAACAACCUGGGGCCCGUCCCGGCCCACGACAUGAUCCAGCCCGGAAGAAUAACGCAGCUGGCGGGCGGGCUAAGAGCACCUACAGCAUGCCAGACACUUUUCAGAUGGCUGGGAAACGGGCAGAUGCCAACAACCGAACACUUGCCCUCAGGAAACUUGCAUUCGAGUGGAGAGAUAAACAAUAAGCAUACUAAACUCGUUCUGACUGCUAUAGAAGUCCAUCCGGAGGCUGUCGCCAUAACACCAGUCAUGAUCUCAUGGUUUGCGAGUUCGAGCUCCGCAUCAAGCUGUC